rnacentral:rRNA from 1 species
CCUACGGGAGGCAGCAGUAGGGAAUAUUGCUCAAUGGGGGAAACCCUGAAGCAGCAACGCCGCGUGGAGGAUGAAGGUUUUCUGGUUGUAAACUCCUUUUUUUAGAGAAGUUAAUGACGGUAUCUGACGAAUAAUCACCGGCUAACUCCGUGCCAGCAGCCGCGGUAAUACGGAGGGUGCAAGCGUUACUCGGAAUCACUGGGCGUAAAGAGCGCGUAGGCGGGAUAGCAAGUCAGAUGUGAAAUCCUAUGGCUUAACCAUAGAACUGCAUUUGAAACUGUUAUUCUAGAGUAUGGGAGAGGUAGGUGGAAUUCUUGGUGUAGGGGUAAAAUCCGUAGAGAUCAAGAGGAAUACUCAUUGCGAAGGCGACCUGCUAGAACAUAACUGACGCUGAUGCGCGAAAGCGUGGGGAGCAAACAGGAUUAGAUACCCUUGUAGUC